UAGCAAGCCCCCAGGACCCACCUGUUUCUGCACUCAUAGAACUGAGGUUAUGUGGCCAUGGGCUCUCCAGCUGCAUCCCAGAGUAGCUGGAGAGCCUUUGACAUCCCAGGCCAGCAUAGUGCCUGCAACUGACAUGGCUUUUGUAGUG
rnacentral:snoRNA from 1 species